UUUUAUAAAAGCAAAUCAAAGCAAGAAUAUAUAUAUAUAUAGCUAUGAAUUGUAAAUGCAAUCAACGGGGGAAAGCAUAGCGGAGCAAGAAAAAGUCAAAAGAAAUAGGUGCAAAUCUUUGGUAAUAAAGAGGGCCAAAAAGUAAAUAUCAUGCAAGUAAAUAUUUAAGUUAUUCACCUUUGCUAGGUUAGUUUUCUAAUCGAGUAGAACCUCACCCUAGCCCCUGACGAUUUCGCAAAACCCUUUUCCACCCCCUAAAAAAAGGUAUAAUGUCAUUGCGACCUCUAUCCAUCACUUUCGUUAGAUAUCAUGGCUUUUCUGUCAAAAUUUCCGUUAAUAAGAGGUAAAGACUACAUGUAAGGUUAUGUUGCUACAUGUUAUUGGACAAUCCAUUUGGACAGAUCGGCUCCUUAUACCGUAAGCAAAACAUUGGCGUUCUGAUGAGGCCAAAACGUUGCAUUACACAACAGCAACAUCAUAUAAGCAAUCUCUUCCCAUUCAUUUCCCUUAUUAACACUAACAAUUACAGAAGAAUCUUAAGAAAAAUCCUAUUUCACACCAGAAAUUCUCCAGUAAGAGACACCGUGAUGGAAGACGAACAACGAUGUGACGAUGCAGUGACGGCGAAGAUCUGACGUCAUCAUGACAUAGCAUGACGUCCUGUUCGAGGAUUACGAGGUUGGUUUAAAAGAAAUAAAAAUGGUGUUCUCAACUACAUGAAUGGCAAGGUUAACAUGUUUUCUAAGUUGGAUAGAGACUUGGUCAUUUACAAAGACUAAGUGGAAAUGCUUAAGGGUUUGGCAACAAAAGCGAAAGAAGCAAAGAACAACUGAGGCUACUGACAAUCCAUCAAGGCAGCAGCAACAAGUCCAACAAGCUGAGUAGCAAGAUGUGCCUCCCACUAGCAAUGCUCCAGGGCCGAAUGGAGUUAAUCCAAAUGUGACAAAUGGUGAACCAAUAAAGAGUGAAGCAAUUGAUCAUGUUGUUCAAGAUCCAGGAGUCAGUGGAUCAUGUGGCUUAUCAAUUCGCACUACCGUCGAUGUGUGUCCUGCACUUGAUCUUCCAUAUCUCGGUUUUGAAGAGUAAAAGGGUCCUCCACUAGUAGAUGCGCUAGUUGCUCCAUAUUUGCCCUUAUCCUAUGGCGGUAUUAGAAAAGAAAACCAUGACAACCUCAGAUGGAAUGCGAGUUGAUGCUAUGGUCGGUUGCAAAGGGGUUUCGCGAGAAGAGGCCAUCUAGGUUGAUAUGUUUGAAUUUACAACUCUAUUUUCUGAGAUGGAACUUGAGGGAAAGGUCUCUAUGGAGGAAGGGAUAGUUGAUAUAGCUCAAUUGUAACUCCAAACCAAAAUCAUAAUAUUGAGGAUGGGCUAAGAAAGAAUGAGAAGGAGAAAGAUUGGCUAGAACCAAUUGAAAGAGAUGAAAUUGAGCCAAAGAGAAUGAGACGAGCUCCAACUUGGUUGAAGGAUUAUAUUAAGAAACAGAGGAGGAUGCAGGGAACUAGAGCUAGAGAACUAAAGUAUCCUAAGUAAGUUAGAGGGGAAUGCAAAUGGAAAUAAGGAGAGAAUCACGUCAAUAUAGGAUUGGAGAAGAAUUCAGUUAGAUCUCUCUAGGAGUUUCAUCCUCACUCGAAGAGGAAAUUUUUGCAUCUCAUUAUGUUCGAUCCACAAGCAUACAUACAUAUACAUUCUCCAAUUCAUUCAUCUAGUUUCUAUCAUUUUCUCACACAA